GCUCGCCGGGGCGCUGGUGACCGGCGCGGGCUUUCUGCGCCCGCUGCGGCACCGGGCGGUCGCCUCGGCCGGGGAGCU
rnacentral:tRNA from 1 species